CAGCAGCCGCGGUAAUACGUAGGUGGCAAGCGUUGUCCGGAAUUAUUGGGCGUAAAGGGCUCGCAGGCGGUUUCUUAAGUCUGAUGUGAAAGCCCCCGGCUCAACCGGGGAGGGUCAUUGGAAACUGGGAAACUUGAGUGCAGAAGAGGAGAGUGGAAUUCCACGUGUAGCGGUGAAAUGCGUAGAGAUGUGGAGGAACGCCAGUGGCGAAGGCGACUCUCUGGUCUGUAACUGACGCUGAGGAGCGAAAGCGUGGGGAGCGAACAGGAUUAGAUACCCGUGUAGUCCCUGUCUCUUAUAA
rnacentral:rRNA from 1 species